UUUCAGCUGCGAAGAACGCGGUUAGCUGAUCGCCUCCAGCAGCAGCUCCUCAGCCAGCUUCAGGCUCCUCCCCGACAGCCCCCAAACCAAUGUGUGAUCGUGGAGGAGAUGCCAGCACCUGCCAUUUCUGCCCCUUGGCAGACCCUUCAAUAGGCAACUUUUCCACCCCCCGUUGCGUUGCCCAGGACUUUGCGUGAUCUGCGCUGUGGUCUGAGAAGUUCCCGGCCUUUUUUCUUUCUCUUUCGUUUCACAAGAUAGGGUCUGCAUGGCCUCCCGAAAGCUUUCCCUGCUCAGUCUUGCCUUCUCACCCUUUAUCUUUCACAGUUAUGGCUCUCCAACAAAUCUUUCAUUUCUAACUCCAACUCUGGACCUGCGUGUUUUUUUGUGUGCUCAGUCGCUAAGUCGUGUCCGAUUCUUCGCGAUCCCAUGGACUGUAGCCCACCAGGCUCCUCUGAACAUGGAAUUUCCAGGCAAGAAUACUGGAAUGGGUUGCCAUUUCCUUCUCCAGGGGAUCUUCCCACCCAGGGAUCAAACCCUCGUCUCUUGGAUCUCCUCCUGCAUUAGCAGGCGGAUUUACCACUGUGCCACCUGGGAAGCCCAGCUCUGGGUCUGCUAACUCCUAAGUCCAUCAUCCGCUUCCUGGAGGACCCAGAUGGACAGAGGUGGUGACUACUGAUGCAAAGGUCUAUGCCUGUUUCUGAGCUUUUAUUCCUUUUUUGGAAAGCUAAGCAUAGAAUUUCUACACCAGGUAAUGUUCAACAUACCAUCAAUUCUGGGCUUUAUUCAGUUCAGUCGCUCAGUCGUGUCCGACUCUUUGUGACCCCCAUGGACUACAUACAGCACGCCAGGCCUCCCUGCCCAUCACCAAAUCUCGGAGUUUACUCAAACUCAUGCCCAUUGAGUCGGUGAUGCCACCCAACCAUCUAAUCCUCUGGGCUUUAUACAGAGCAUGAAAGGUUUUUUUUUAUAAGAAUUGAAUUUUCGACCAGAUGGCCAGAGCCGGGAGCCCCGAAGUAUGAGUUCAGUGCCCCCGGAAGCCUGGGAGCCAUGAUUCUGCUUCGGACCCGCUGUCGGGGAGAAAGGGGCCAGGUCUUAGGACUGGGUGGGGGAUUUAGGGCUCAGGCUCUGAGGGCGGUGCUUCUUGGGCUGAUGGGUGGGGCUUAGGGAGGAGCCUAUGCUUGUUGGGGCAGGGCCUGGGUGGAGGAGGAACCUGAGGAGGGGUUUGGGUGGAACAGCUGAGCCAGAGAUGGGUCCAAGGAGAGGAAUCCCUGGGGUUGAGUUUGUCCAAUGAGCAGCGAGGGGGCAGAAGGCGGGGCCUCAGAAAUUCUAGAACCAGUGAAGCUGGGUGGAAGAUUGGGAAGAUGGCACUGAAAGAUAGGGGUGUGGGUUUAUGGUUGGGGCACUGCCGUUGGGGUGGGGAGAUAAGAAAAAAGUUUUCUGAGUAUUUUCCUCAAUCAAAUCUUAUGUCUUAGUAUUUUAAGAAGCACAAAAUGGUGGACUAAUGGUAAGAACCCAUAGAAGAGAAACCAUAGAAGAAAGACUAAUGAAAGAAAGCAACGUAGAGAGCAGAUUCUAUGAUAACAAAGAUGACAGAUUAAGACCGACAAAAGAAGGGGAUGAUUAGAAACAAGGCAGCUGCUUUCGAGAAGUCCUGACGGUUGAAUUGUCUUCCCCAAGAUUCAGAUGUUGAAGUCCCAACUCAGAGUGGAUAUUUGAAGACAGGGUCUUCAAAGAGGUGAUUAAGUUAAUAUGAGGUCACGCAGGUGAGCCCUACGCCCUGUAAUUGUUCUGAUGAGAAGAGGUGAUCAGGACACAGACACAUACAGAGGGAAGAGCUUGUGAAGACACACGGAGAAGGUUCCCAUCUACAAGCCAAGCAGAGAGGCUUCAGAAGGAUGUAACCCUGCCAACAGCUUGAUCUUGGACUUCUAGCCUCUGCAAUUAGUAGCCUGGCAUGCUACAGUCCAUGGAGAGUCGGGCAUGACUUAGAGCCUGAAGAGCAACAGAUGAGUCUCAGUCUCGCACACACUGGAGGAUGGAUGCACUGCUUUAGCCCAGUGGGUCUCAACCCUCACUGCUUCAUAGAACCACCUGGGAGCUUUUCAAAGGCCUGGGGCAGGGCCUCUUAUCCAUUCUUCUUAAGAGCACUCAGGAUAAUGCUGGUAUGUACUUUGGAUGAAGAGCUGCUCUGAGGACCUCUGACUAUGGCCCUCUGGUACCUAGUUGGUAUGUCACCCCAGGCCCCUGGAACUCAUGCAGACAGGAAGCCCAGCCGUGCUGAUGCACUUAGAGUUGAAGUAGUUAUAAACCUCUGGUGGUAUGUGGAAGGACAGAAUUUUUCGCAGCCUCAGCUCUGAGAGUCAGGAUUGAGCACAUCUGCCAGGUUCAAUAAACCUGUGUUUCUGCCUUUAAAAAUGGCUGCAUGAGCCCUUCUUGUCAGAUGCUCUCCCUGGGCCAUCAUUUCAUUAUUUAUUCAGUAUUUUCAUAACUGAUCCAUCAGCCCAACUGUAAAAGUGCCAAGGAGAAAACUUUGUUUUUAAUGAUUAUGCAUCUCUUUGGCUUUGUUACCAUAAUUUCUGGGGGAGCAACAAUUACCUUGUGUCUGGCUGAUCCGCCUCUGAGUGCAGUGUCCUUCCAGUUGGUUUAAAGGGACCAUCAUUCUCUGGGACCAUCGCCUACUGCAUGCUAAUGUGUGGCCUCCAGCUGGGACUUGGGAAUCUCAGGCAGGAUGUCUGGUUUAGGAAUUGCCUCAUCUAUACAUAUGUGUAUCUGGUGAAUCUGUUGAGCAUCUUCUAUGUGCCCGGCCCUGUGCUGGGAGCUGGAGAUGGUGUCGCAAGUUGCCUCUUGGGAAAUAUGUGCAAAA